rnacentral:lncRNA from 1 species
UACGCUUGCGAGCAAACAGAUGAUGCCAUCUCAUAAAAGUAGAAACAAAGCUCAAAGUAAAUCCAAAGUUAUCAUGAGAGAAACUAAAGUAGAGAUAUGAAUAAUCCGAGUUAACAUAAGCGGAGAAACAUAUAUAGUAAUAUCUUCUUCUCCCUAAAACUAGUAGCUAACCCAUAAUAAGAGAACAUAACUACAUUACACAAACUGCUGCUGAUCCAUCUUUUAAUCAUCAUCUUCCUCCUGUAAAACAUAAACCAACCAAGUGUGACAACUAGAUAGUAGCAAGAUUUACAAAGCAAAAUACAAUAGAGAUUUUUAUAAGGACAAACACUUCAUUUCCAGCUUCAUCUUCUUCGUUGAAAUAUUUUUAAAAUAAGAUUUUACCAAAAAUUAUAAACAUUUUAUUUUGUGAGAUGAAGAGAAGACGAUAGACUGGAAUUGCAAAUGAGAAAAAGGGUUUGGAUUUGAAGAGAGUGGAGAAGAGAGUUUUUGUGAGGAUCUGGAUCUUUUUAGAGAGGGUCUAAGUAAUGGGUAUAUAGAGGAGAAGGCAUGGGAUGAUGAAAAUACAGUGAUUGGAUAGAAAAUCCAAAACUCUCCACCAAGACGAUGCAAUCAUGGCUUUGGUCGACCUAAUUCAUCUCCUUCACUAUCACUUCCUAAUCGACUCUUCACUAUCCUCC